CAGAGCCACGGGAAUACAGAGGGUGCGAGCGUUAAUCGGAUUUACUGGGCGUAAAGCGUGCGUAGGCGGCUUCUUAAGUCGGAUGUGAAAUCCCUGAGCUUAACUUAGGAAUUGCAUUCGAUACUGGGAAGCUAGAGUAUGGGAGAGGAUGGUAGAAUUCCAGGUGUAGCGGUGAAAUGCGUAGAGAUCUGGAGGAAUACCGAUGGCGAAGGCAGCCAUCUGGCCUAAUACUGACGCUGAGGUACGAAAGCAUGGGGAGCAAACAGGAUUAGAUACCCGUGUAGUCCCUGUCUCUUAUACC
rnacentral:rRNA from 1 species